rnacentral:rRNA from 1 species
CCAACGGGGGGCAGCAGUGGGGAAUUUUGGACAAUGGGCGCAAGCCUGAUCCAGCCAUGCCGCGUGAGUGAAGAAGGCCUUCGGGUUGUAAAGCUCUUUCAGGUGGAAAGAAAUCGCACUUUCUAAUACAAGGUGUGGAUGACGGUACCAUCAGAAGAAGCACCGGCUAACUACGUGCCAGCAGCCGCGGUAAUACGUAGGGUGCGAGCGUUAAUCGGAAUUACUGGGCGUAAAGCGUGCGCAGGCGGUUAUGUAAGACAGAUGUGAAAUCCCCGGGCUCAACCUGGGAACUGCGUUUGUGACUGCAUAACUAGAGUACGGCAGAGGGAGGUGGAAUUCCGCGUGUAGCAGUGAAAUGCGUAGAGAUGCGGAGGAACACCGAUGGCGAAGGCAGCCUCCUGGGCCAGUACUGACGCUCAUGCACGAAAGCGUGGGGAGCAAACA